rnacentral:rRNA from 1 species
GUACAUGCAAGUAGAACGCUUCUUACUUAGUGCUUGCACUAAGUAAGAAGAGUUGCGAACGGGUGAGUAACGCGUAGGUAACCUACCUUAUAGCGGGGGAUAACUAUUGGAAACGAUAGCUAAUACCGCAUAAGAAGAGUUAACACAUGUUAANUCUUUAAAAGGGGCAAUUGCUCCACUAUGAGAUGGACCUGCGUUGUAUUAGCUAGUUGGUGAGGUAACGGCUCACCAAGGCAACGAU